rnacentral:rRNA from 1 species
UGGGGAAUAUUGCACAAUGGGGGAAACCCUGAUGCAGCGACGCCGCGUGAGCGAAGAAGGCUUUCGAGUCGUAAAGCUCUGUCCUAUGAGAAGAUAAUGACGGUAUCAUAGGAGGAAGCCCUGGCUAAAUACGUGCCAGCAGCCGCGGUAAUACGUAUGGGGCGAGCGUUGUCCGGAAUUAUUGGGCGUAAAGGGUACGUAGGCGGUUUUUUAAGUCAGGUGUCAAAGCGUGGAGCUUAACUCCAUCAAGCACUUGAAACUGAAAGACUUGAGUGAAGGAGAGGAAAGUGGAAUUCCUAGUGUAGCGGUGAAAUGCGUAGAUAUUAGGAGGAAUACCGGUGGCGAAGGCGACUUUCUGGACUUUUACUGACGCUCAGGUACGAAAGCGUGGGGAGCAAACAGG